rnacentral:rRNA from 1 species
UUACCGAGUUUACAACUCCCAAACCCAAUGUGAACCAUACCAAACUGUUGCCUCGGCGGGGUCACGCCCCGGGUGCGUCGCAGCCCCGGAACCAGGCGCCCGCCGGAGGGACCAACCAAACUCUUUUCUGUAGUCCCCUCGCGGACGUUAUUUCUUACAGCUCUGAGCAAAAAUUCAAAAUGAAUCAAAACUUUCAACAACGGAUCUCUUGGUUCUGGCAUCGAUGAAGAACGCAGCGAAAUGCGAUAAGUAAUGUGAAUUGCAGAAUUCAGUGAAUCAUCGAAUCUUUGAACGCACAUUGCGCCCGCCAGUAUUCUGGCGGGCAUGCCUGUCCGAGCGUCAUUUCAACCCUCGAACCCCUCCGGGGGGUCGGCGUUGGGGAUCGGGAACCCCUAAGACGGGAUCCCGGCCCCGAAAUACAGUGGCGGUCUCGCCGCAGCCUCUCCUGCGCAGUAGUUUGCACAACUCGCACCGGGAGCGCGGCGCGUCCACGUCCGUAAAACACCCAACUUCUGAAAUGUUGACCUCGGAUCAGGUAGGAAUACCCGCUGAACUUAAGCAUAUCAAUAAGCGGAGGAA